UUACGGGUCGCAGCAGGCGCGAAAACUUUACAAUGCGGGGAACCGUGAUAAGGGGACACCGAGUGCCAGCAUCAUAUGCUGGCUGUCCGGAUGUGUAAAAUGCAUCCGUUAGCAAGGGCCGGGCAAGACCGGUGCCAGCCGCCGCGGUAACGCCGGCGGCCCGAGUGGUGAUCGUGAUUAUUGGGUCUAAAGGGUCCGUAGCCGGUUUGGUCAGUCCUCCGGGAAAUCUGAUAGCUCAACUAUUAGGCUUUCGGGGGAUACUGCCAGACUUGGAACCGGGAGAGGUAAGAGGUACUACAGGGGUAGGAGUGAAAUCUUGUAAUCCCUGUGGGACCACCUGUGGCGAAGGCGUCUUACCAGAACGGGUUCGACGGUGAGGGACGAAAGCUGGGGGCACGAACCGGAUUAGAUACCAGGGUAGUCCCAGCCGUAAACGAUGCUCGCUAGGUGUCAGGCAUGGCGCGACCGUGUCUGGUGCCGCAGGGAAGCCGUGAAGCGAGCCACCUGGGAAGUACGGCCGCAAGGCUGAAACUUAAAGGAAUUGGCGGGGGAGCACAA
rnacentral:rRNA from 1 species